CAGUGUGUCAUAUGAAUCUCAAUUUUUGAACAAGAAAAUGAAUUUGGGGAUUUAAAUGAACAAAGUGAAGAUAUUGCUGAAAAUUAUGACAAGCACCAAGAGUUAACCACCAAAACACAGAGUCAUUUGUCACCCACUGGCCACUAUACUGGGCUAUUGUUACAGUUUGACUUUGCAUCAAAU